GUGUGAUAAAGGGCUGUAACAAGAAAAACUGAGGCUUGCCAGAGCCAAAGCUUACAGAAAGGAGAAUCGGCAAGUUUAAAAAGGCUGGAAACAGUCUCAGGAAGUAUGAACAACUUGCCUUAAAUAAGUAGGUGGGACAGUGUUGACGCCACAACCAGGAACCCUACUCUUAGUCCAGCAUCUGACUUACCACACGACAGUGAUCCUAAAGAGAAGAGAGAACAACUGAGAGUGAAGUCCUAUGAUAGGUAUACCAAAUAAAAUGCCUUCCACUGAUUUAUCUGCAGCCUUGCCAAGGAGAGCUAGCAUGGCUAGUGUGCCUCCCGAGGAUGAUGGAUUCAGCAUAGCCUAAGAUACGUGAAACAGGUUGGGGCUUGGACUCUGUAAUGCUCCUCUGUUUAUAAAAUUGUAUACGUGAGACACCCCAGCAAGCUCACCAUGACAGAAGAUUCACUCUGAGCAGGUGUUGCCAAGACAGGACCCUCUACCCCAUGCUCCCAGUCAAGGGUUAUGAUAUCUCCUUGGAAGACGCAAGCCACCAGCAUUUCUCAUUUCCCUUCAGCUCCAUGUUGCAGAAACUAAAUUCCAGAUGACUGCAUCUGAGAGGUCCAGAUUACAGUGUAAAUAAAUAAAAUGGAGAUUAGAAAAACAAUUGAGAAAAUUAAUGAAAUCAAAAGUUGGUUCUUUGACAAGAUCAAUAAAAUCAACCAACCUGUAUUUGGCCUGUAUACAGUCAUGAAAGAGGGAACAUUAUUAUUGACCUUACAGAAAUAAAAGGAUUAUAAAGGAAUACAAUGAAUAAUUACAUCAAAUUAGUUAACUCUGAUGAAAUGGAAAAACAAUCCUGGAAAAAAAACAAGUAUUGAAACUUACUCAAGAAGAAAUUGGAAAUCCAGUGUGGAGGUUCCUCAAAAAAUUAAGAAUAGAAUUACCAUAAUACCC